UGGGGAGUGGGUGGGUAUGGUGGUGGGGUUGAGGUGGCGUUUUCUGGAGUAUGCCUUCUGGGCUCCAUUGGGGAGGUGUUUUUUUGCUCUGUCUGUUGCAUCUGAAUUUGAAAGAAGCCCAGGAAGGUGUUGACAACAGACACAGUAAGAAGAUGCAAGAAUGGUUGAAGAAGACAGUAGUGGCGGAAUUCAUGGUGUGUUUGAGAGAGAAAAUGGAGAUGAGUGUGGCUAUGGCUAUGGGUGGUUUGAUUGGGUGGAGAGAGAUAGAGAGAGCAGAUGAAGCAAAAUCAGAAUCGGAAGUGUUGAUGCCAGGGGAAUGAAAAUAGAAGAUGAGGGGAAAGAAGAAGAACCCUAAUUUUAUUGGGAAUUUGGGGGAAUUAAGGGUUAAUUUGUUUUUGUUAAAUAAAUUAGGUUUAGUUUUGUUCAUUGAUUUUACUUUUUUAAUUUAAUUUUAUUUUUUAUGUGUAAUUUAUUUUUUUUUUUAUUUUUUAAAUCCACAUCAGCGUGUUUAUUCCAGUCAGCUAGCCAAUUCAUCACUCGCCGGAGCUCCGGGCUCCGGCGAGGACCUGCUCCAGACUUAUUGCAAACGAGAGAACUCAGAUUUGCAAAUUUUCCGGGGAGGGACUAAUUUCAGACGGCGAGACAAAGACAAGGACCAAGUAGACGAUUAACCCUUUUUUAAAUUGCUAUUUUAUACUCCACAUUGAUUGAUUGUAGAGCGGUGAUAAAUUAAGUAUUCCCCAAGAGAUUCGUGACAUAAUGAAUAAGCAAUACUUCUUUAAGGUUGAGGCUAAGGAGGACUCUAGAGGUAGGUUUGAGACUACAUACACGGUCAAAAAAAUUUGCAAGGAUUCAGACAUUAUUAUGAAGUUUAUUCAUGAUGUAAUUAGUACAGCCAUUUCACUCUAAAUUCGACUUAAAAGUUUUUAAAUAUAUAAAUACACACAACCUCACGUUUUUAUUGCGAUACUAUUUUUAACACGCAGGAUGCUAGUGGUUCUGAUAUUUCAGUUUCAAAAAUGAAAUCCCUUACUGAGACCCCAGAUAGUGGUACUGCUCUCUAUAAGUCAAAAGCGAGCUAAUCACUCCAACCUCCCUACCACAAAUCACUGCAUUCGAGGGCAUGUCAAGUGGGAUCAAGAGUCAGACCCUAGAUAGUGGUACCGUUGUCAAUCAGUCAAAGGCUGAGUUAAUUUCUCCGACCUCCCUCCCACAAAUCACUGGUGAUAAUGCAGAAAAUGUUCAAAAAGAAGAUAUGCCACCUAAGGAAGGAUCAAAUUCCCAUAAAGGCAGACUUGAGAAUGUUGGUAAUGCCGUCAACAUUACUGAUUCACAAUCCAACACUAAAGGUGCAAACACACUAAACAAUGUUAUAGAUGUUGACAGCAUCACACCUUCAAAAUGUGGAUCAGAGGAUGAUUCCGUACAAGAAAAUUCUGCAAGUACCAAUGCAAAACUUUUGAAGCGGAUCAAAUUAGAGAAGAUGUAGCUGUUUUCCAUAAGAUUCCUUUGAUAUCGCAGAAAAUAAAGUAUCUUUUGUGCUACGACUAUCCUUUUAUGUCUCUAUCCACUAGACAAUUUGUUUUCUUUCGUAUAUUGACCUCGGUGGUCAAUUUGCAUUACUUCUGACAGUUUUAUUUAUUUGGU